UUGGUUCACCCCACCCCCAUAGCCACCGAUAUUCUACAAACGUGCUUGCAAUGCAAGAAGAUGGCAGUCAAACAGUCGUUUUCUUACACAGGAGGAAACGCACCGGGGACAUCCGAUGAAUGGGAGUCAAAUUCCAACACAGCGUUUACGGUGCGAGCUGUAGACUGGCUGAGCGAAGUGGAGAGUGAAACUGUGUUCUGGACCUACACAUUGAAUCUGGUUUAUAAUUGAAUGUACACAAAGACGGAGGGGAGUCCCACUUGUGUCGGCUUUUGAAAGUAUACGGAGUUACUGGAAUACAAAAGCGUAUUACAGUCCAUGUUUUAUUCAUCGAUGGACAAAAACACAUUUUAAACGGUGCGGGCAUGGAAAAUGCGUGCAAGAUUGGGACACGCUGACAGAACAACCUCAGGAUAUAAAAAGUGAAGACCCAUCUGUGGUUAAAGUGAGGAUCCAUCUGUGGUUGGAAAGAAGCAAAACUUUGAUGCUGGAUCCUGCGAUGCCAGCGGAACCCAGUAAAGACACCAUGACAGUGCCAGCAGCCCCAGAAAGAGCUGUCAUGGAGAAGGCCAACAUCAAUGACCACACUCCGACUGUGACUAUAGUAGCUAUCCCUUUGAUCACUGAAAUCCAACUGAAUGCGGCCACAGGUGGUGCAGAACUUUCCUGCUAUCGUUGCACAGUGCCGUUUGGCGUGGUCAUUCUCAUUGCCGGUAUCGUGGUCACUUCUGUGGCUUACAGCUUCAACUCACAUGGGUCCACCAUCUCCUACUUUGGGCUGGUGCUACUAUCUGUUGGACUGGUGCUAUUGGCGCUAAGUGCGGUCUGCUGGAAGAUGAGACUUGAGAAAAAGAAGGAGAGGCGGAGGGAAAGCCAAACUGCACUGGUUGCAAACCAGAGGAGCAUCUUUGCAUGAAGGGAAAGACUGAUCAUCAGGAGAAAAAUAAGUCUGUGAUAUGUUUGGGUGCGAGAGGAAACAGAGGUAGUGGUUAAUUUGAAAGCGGAGUGGAGACUGUAUCCAGAUGUUUUCAUGACUGACCAACGUCUAUGUGGUGGGUCGUUGCCCUGCAAAGCUUUGACCUCAGACUAUCUCUAGGCUAAGCAAGUCAAAACGUCUUAGCUUUCAUGAAGUUGUUGGGUUUUUAAUCUGUCAAACAGACUGGUCACAUCUGGGAAGCUGGGCAGACAGCCAAACUGAAUGUAUCAAAAUUAAGACAAAUUACCACUGUACAAAGCAAUGGAGAGGAUGUUUCCCAUUAAUCUACUGUUGCAUCUGGUGUCUUAGAUUUACUGGGAGGGAUAGUGGUCUGAAAGGAGGGGGACAUGGGAAAAUCCAGAACAAUGAAUCAUGCUUCAUUUACCAUGUUUUAGGCAUAACAUCUCUCAUAAAGUCUGAUUGUUCCUUUUCAUUUCACACAGAAUUAUGUUAAAUUACCUGACAUGGGAAUAUGGUACUUACAGUGAGGGGGGAAAGUAUUUGAUCCCCUGCUGAUUUUGUAUGUUUGCCCACUGACAAAGAAAUUAUCAAUCUAUAAUUUUAAUGGUAGGUUUAUUUGAACUGUGAGAGACAGAAUAACAACAAAGAAAUCCAGAAAAACGCAUGUCAAAAAUGUUAUAAAUUGAUUUGCAUUUUAAUGAGGGAAAUAAGUAUUUGACCCCUCUGCUAAACAUGACUUAGUACUUGGUGGCAAAACCCUUGUUGGCAAUCAUAGAGGUCAGACGUUUCUUGUAGUUGGCCACCAGGUUUGCACACAUCUCAGGAGGGAUUUUGUCCCCCUCCUCUUUGCAGAUCUUCUCCAAGUCAUUAAGGUUUUGAGGCUAACGUUUGGCAACUUGAACCUUCAGCUCCCUAAACAGAUUUUCUAUGGGAUUAAGGUCUGGAGACUGGCUAGGCCACUCCAGGACCUUAAUGUGCUUCUUCUUGAGCCACUCCUUUGUUGCCUUAGCCAUGUGUUUUGGGUCAUUGUCAUGCUGGAAUACCCAUCCACGAUACAUUUCCAAUGCCCUGGCUGAGGGAAGGAGGUUCUCACCCAAGAUUUGACAGUACAUGACCCCAUCCAUCGUCCCUUUGAUGCGGUGAAGUUGUCCUGUCCCCUUAGUAGAAAAACACCCCCAAAGCAUAAUGUUUCCACCUCCAUGUUUGACGGUGGGGAUGGUGUUCUUGGGGUCAUAGGCAGCAUUCCUCCUCCUCCAAACACGGUGAGUUGAGUUGAUGCCAACAAGCUCCAUUUUGGUCUCAUCUGACCACAACACUUUCACCCAGUUGUCCUCUGAAUCAUUCAGAUGUUCAUUGGCAAACUUCAGACGGGCAUGUAAUAUGUGCUUUCUUGAGCAGGGGGACCUUGCGGGCGCUGCAGGAUUUCAGUCCUUCACGGCGUAGUGUUUCCAAUUGUUUUCUUGGUGACUAUGGUCCCAGUUGCCUUGAGAUCAUUGACAAGACCCUCCCGCGUAGUUCUCGGCAGAUUCCUCACCGUUAUCAUGAUCAUGGAGCCCCAGGCCGAGGGAGAUUGACAGUUCUUGUGUUUCUUCCAUUUGCGAAUAAUCACACCAACUUUUGUCACCUUCUCACCAAGCUGCUUGGCGAUGGUCUUGUAGCCCAUUCCAGCCUUGUGUAGGUCUACAAUCUUGUCCCUGACACCAUUGGAGAGCUCUUUGGUCUUGGCCAUGGUGGAGAGUUUGGAAUCUGAUUGAUUGAUUGCUUCUGUGGACAGGUGUCUUUUAUACAGGUAACAAACUUAGAUUAGGAGCACUCCCUUUAAGAGUGUGCUCCUAAUCUCAGUUUGUUACCUGUAUAAAAGACACAUGGGAGCCAGAAAUCUUUCUGAUUGAGAGGGGGUCAAAUACUUAUUUCCCUCAUUAAAAUGCAAAUCAAUUUAUAACAUUUUUGACAUGCGUUUUUCUGGAUUUGUUUGUUGUUAUUCUAUCUCUCAUGGUUCAAAUAAACCCACCAUUAAAAUUAUAGACGGAUAAUUUCUUUGUCAGUGGGGAAACGUACAAAAUUAGCAGGGGAUCAAAUACUUUUCCCCCUGACUGUACAUGUUAAUAUGUAAUGAUAUAUAUUGGAAUUAUGGGGACACAAAAAAGUGUUGUUUUUGUUUGAUGUUUAUUAUCCUAUUCUCUGAAACAAGUCGAGCUCAGAGAUAAAGUCAAUUAGAUGUCACACAGUAAUUAUUGAUAGUACCUAUGAUGUACCUAUUAUGUUAUAGGUAGUAUUGCAUUAUGAGGGAAUAUGCUUAUUGACUAAAUGUAACUUACAUCGAAUUAACCUUUAUUAACUAUUCUCUGUAAGCACUUUGUUCCACACCAUGACUAACAUGGUGUUCUAUGUAACUAUGACGACUCUUUGGAAUUACUAGCAUCUUGCCACAAUCUUGUUGUCACUACAGUACUUGCCAAUGUCAGUAAAUGUAUUUCAUAUGUUGAGCGAUAUGAAAUGUUCUAGUAUUUUAUUCCACUUUAAUAUAAUCAUUUUUAUGUAUGACUUCUCUGUUAACAGUACAUCAAUUGUUAAUAGGUUAUAGUGAGGUUUAAUAAACUCUCAUCCAUAUUUAAACAUUUCA